UACGGAGGGUGCGAGCGCUGAUCGGACUCACUGGGCGUAAAGCGUACGCAGGCGGCUCGUUAAGUCGGGUGUGAAAGCCCGGUUCUCAACCCCGGAAUUGCGCCCGAUACUGGCGAGCUUGAGUACGGGAGAGGGAUAGCGGAAUUCCUGGUGUAGAGGUGAAAUUCGUAGAUAUCAGGAGGAACACCAGUGGCGAAAUCGGCUUCCUGGCCCGAUACUGACGCUCAUGUACGAAAGCGUGGGGAGCAAACAGG
rnacentral:rRNA from 1 species